rnacentral:rRNA from 1 species
AGUCACUGACAUUAGAUACCCGUGUAGUCCAGGGUGUAAACGCUGCAGACUUGGUGUUGGAAGCCCUUUGGGGGCAUUCAGUGCCGGAGAGAAGUUGUUAAGUCUGCUACGUUGGGAGUACGUCCGCAAGGAUGAAACUUAAAGGAAUUGGCGGGGGAGCACCGCAACGGGAGGAGCGUGCGGUUUAAUUGGAUUCAACACCGUAAAACUCACCAGGGAAGACUGUUACAUGAAAGCCGAGAUGAAGACUCUGCUAGAUUUUCAG